GAGAAACAGGGGCCAUGCGCUGGGGAUUUAAAUCAGCAACAGCCUGAGCAGGACUACCAGUAUCAUUAAGAUUAAAGCGCUUUGUCAUUUCAUCUUGUCUUGGCCACAAUAAUGGGGUCAUUUCCGAAGCAGAGGUAGACGUCCUCCGAUCAUCAUAGCCAACACAACUGGCUUGUGAUCUAGGAGGUGAAACUUUAGAAACAUUUCUUUUUGCAAGAGCCACCUUCUUUCCUCCUUCUUUAAGAGCACCUAAUGCAGCAUUAUAUGUCUCUUGAGAUACAGCCCCUUCUUCAGCACAUCUUAUGGCUUCCCUGCAGAGACUGUUGUAUCUCCGAGCCAUUGAUUCA
rnacentral:misc_RNA from 1 species